rnacentral:rRNA from 1 species
CAGCCUGCAACCCGGCUGCACGAAGCCGGAAUCGCUAGUAAUCGCAGAUCAGCAUGCUGCGGUGAAUACGUUCCCGGGUCUUGUACACACCGCCCGUCACACCAUGGGAGUCGGAAAUGCCCGAAGUCAGUGGCCCAACCGUAAGGAGGGAGCUGCCGAAGGCAGGUCCGGUGACUGGGGUGAAGUCGUAACAAGGUAUC